rnacentral:rRNA from 1 species
GACGAACGCUGGCGGCGUGCUUAACACAUGCAAGUCGAACGGAAAGGCCCUGCUUUUGUGGGGUGCUCGAGUGGCGAACGGGUGAGUAACACGUGAGUAACCUGCCCUUGACUUUGGGAUAACUUCAGGAAACUGGGGCUAAUACCGGAUAGGAGCUCCUGCUGCAUGGUGGGGGUUGGAAAGUUUCGGCGGUUGGGGAUGGACUCGCGGCUUACCAGCUUGUUGGUGGGGUAGUGGCUUACCAAGGCUUUGACGGGUAGCCGGCCUGAGAGGGUGACCGGCCACAUUGGGACUGAGAUACGGCCCAGACUCCUACGGGAGGCAGCAGUGGGGAAUAUUGCACAAUGGGCGGAAGCCUGAUGCAGCAACGCCGCGUGCGGGAUGACGGCCUUCGGGUUGUAAACCGCUUUCGCCUGUGACGAAGCGUGAGUGGCGGUAAUGGGUAAAGAAGCACCGGCUAACUACGUG